CACGUAGGCACCAAGCGUUAUCCGGAUUUAUUGGGCGUAAAGAGCUCGUAGGCGGUUCGGUAAGUCGGGUGUGAAAACUCUGGGCUCAACCCAGAGAGGCCACCCGAUACUGCUGUGACUAGAGUGCGGUAGGGGAGCGGGGAAUUCCUGGUGUAGCGGUGAAAUGCGCAGAUAUCAGGAGGAACACCAGCGGCGAAGGCGGGUCUCUGGGCCGAUACUGACGCUGAGGAGCGAAAGCUAGGGGAGCAAACAGG
rnacentral:rRNA from 1 species